GAUGAACGCUGGCGGCGUGCCUAAUACAUGCAAGUCGAGCGAACAGACGAGGAGCUUACUCCUCUGACGUUAGCGGCGGACGGGUGAGUAACACGUGGAUAACCUACCUAUAAGACUGGGAUAACUUCGGGAAACCGGAGCUAAUACCGGAUAACAUGUUGAACCGCAUGGUUCAACAGUGAAAGACGGUCUUGCUGUCACUUAUAGAUGGAUCCGCGUCGCAUUAGCUAGUUGGUAAGGUAACGGCUUACCAAGGCAACGAUGCGUAGCCGACCUGAGAGGGUGAUCGGCCACACGGGACUGAGACACGGUCCAGACUCCUACGGGAGGCAGCAGUAGGGAAUCUUCCGCAAUGGGCGAAAGCCUGACGGAGCAACGCCGCGUGAGUGAAGAAGGUCUUCGGACCGUAAAACUCUGUUAUUAGGGAAGAACGAAUGUGUAAGUAACUAUGCACGUCUUGACGGUACCUAAUCAGAAAGCCACGGCUAACUACGUG
rnacentral:rRNA from 1 species